rnacentral:rRNA from 1 species
GUUGACCUCGGAUCAGGCAGGGAUACC